rnacentral:misc_RNA from 1 species
GUGUCGCUGCUGCUUUCUCGUCCCUUUCCUUUCGUGAUUGGUGGCCGCUGCUCUGGUUGCUGUAGCGCUCUUCCCUGACGGCCCCCACCCCCUUUCUUCCUUCCCCAUCGCCCUCGCGCUUGUCGUCUUGCCUUCUUGCCGCCUCUCUCGUCCCCGUCUUCCUCCGUACCUGCACCUCUGAUUGUCUCCGUGAUUGCCCCACAGCGCAUCGCACUCAUGAGCGCUUGCGUGACCGGGACGGCGCCCGCUGCUCAGCUAGGUGUGGGGGAUCUCUGGGCGUCGGAGGUGCUCGAGGGAUGUGCGCGUGCUCACUACACCCCCCGGCAGGAGCUGCUGGGGAUUCUGGCUCCACCGCCACGCUCUACGGCCGCCGGUGCCACUCCCAUCGCGUCGGUUGUCAAGGCAUCGGGAGCAACAGUGGAGGGUGGUCGUACGCUGAUCGAUGUGGAUGCGGUGGAGAGUAUGGAUGGAUACUCCCAUGCUGCCUCUCCGAACUCCAUCGGGGAGGCAGUGGCUAAUCAGCCGUCUCUGAAACCCAUGGAGCGCAGCGCGCUCUCCGAAGAGAUGCAGGCACUGCGCGCGGUCCUGUCACCUGCACUGAUACGCAAGGCGUACCGCUUGAACACGCCAUGCAUGACGAAGCACACAACCAAGAACGAGCGUCUGCUGAACUGCACGGCGUCGCCGCGGUGCAUGGCUGGGCUCCAGCUGCUCGGCAGCGACGCUGCCACGCGCGAGGACUGCUUGAAGGCGUUAAUGGGGAACGGCCCGUACGUGGUGCCGCUUCCCGCGGUGAAGGGCAGCGGCGUAACGGCGGCGAAUGCCGACGCCGCGUCGUCAUCCUCCGCCUCGACAGGGCGCGAACGGGGCGGAGCGCGAGCCACGAAGAGCACUCGCGAAGACUUAGCAGAGACAGCAGGAAGCGCGACUGCUGCCGGCGACGCCACCGAGAUCACCGUCAUGAGUGACCCGGCUUUCCCUUGCCUGUGGCGUGGAGUGCGCAACUUGAUGAACACGUGCUACUUCAGCGCCGUGUUACAGCUCAUCUUCAGCAUUGCCCGGGUGCGCCACGCAAUCCUUAACGACGACGCCGCAGCGCACGACCAUUACUGCGUGGAGAUCAGAGAGGCGCAGGGAGGCACCGGUGUUAACCAGCUGGCCGAGUCGGGGCUCAAGGAGCUCUUUGCAUUAAUGGCCUUCAGCCGCGAAGGGGCCGGCGCGGACCCGAAGUCGUUCGCCACGUACCUUUCCCUUGACGUGAAGGUGCAGCAGGACGCGCAGGAGUUUUUCACCUUGCUGCUGGACUGGCUGCGGUGCCAUUGCGGCCCAACGGUGAAGGCUGCCGUCACCAGCACCUUCUCCGGAACGCUGCUGUACGACCGGCAGUGUGGAUCUUGCGGCCGGUCCUCCAAGCGAGCGGAGCCGUUCCUGUAUCUCUCGCUGCCUGUUUGCCCCACCCUGGAGGACUCCCUGUCGGAGUUCUCGAAGCCGGAGGCGGUGGACGGCUUCAUGUGCGAGCAGUGCGGCCACACGGCGGUGGCUACGUCGCUACAGUAUAUGCGGACGCUGCCUGACGUGCUCGUGAUCCACUGGAACCGCUUCGAGUUUGACCUGCAGUCCCUGCAGCGACACAAGGUGACCACCACCACCUCCUUUCCUCUUCAGCUGGACAUGGCGACGUACAUGCGCCAGUGGCACGAGCAGAAGCGGAACAUCACGUCUAGAGCCGCCGGUGGUGAGAGCGUGGCGCCAGAGGAGAGCGAGGACCACCACUUAUACGAGCUGCGCGGUGUUGUGAACCACCUCGGCGACACUGCCGUAUCAGGCCACUACACCUACCACGGCAAGGUCUCCGGCGCCUCGGCGGAGCCGGGCAGCAGCGGUGGUAGCAGAGGCAGCUCGUGGCUGAACUUUAACGACGCAGAGGUGUCGAAGCUGAACCGCUACCAAGGGCAGCGCGGCGCGUCGCCAGACGCUUACCUGCUCGUGUACCACCGCAUCGCCACAUCGUGUUCAUCUCCACGCUCUACGUCGGUGUCGGCGCCGCCCAGCACGGGCAAGCCACCGCAGCUGCAGCCCGUCGCUGCCGUUCCGUCCACCAGCGCCACCCCCACCCCUGCGGAGUACCCUGUGUACUUGCGCCAGUACGUUGAUCGCGUGAAUGAUGACUGCCUCACCAAGCGCCACGACUGGAUGGAGCAGCGCGCGCAGGCAGCGGCGCUCUUCGACUUGUGGGCCACCGCCGCGAAGGCUGUGUUUGAGAGUGCCACGAACGCCUCGAGUGCCCCGGCAUGGAUAUCGACCACGACGACGGCCACACCGUCGCUUUACGUGCUCCCCACCCGCUGGCUGCAGCAUUUCGGCCGCUUCUUCUUGCCUGCCUACGUGGACGCGGCGGCGCUCGGCAGCGGUGCCGAGUCGAAGCUGAAGCGCAGCAAGAGGGACUUGGACGCCGUCUCAGGCCCUGCGGGCGACAGUGCCAACUCUGCGCUUGCGAGCGGUGCUGCUGGUGUUGACGGGAAGCCCAUUGUUGUCGGGCCCGAGGAGGGCGCCUCGGGCAGUGGCGCUAGCGCCGCGGUUGAGGGGACCGUGGUGACUGCCACGGUCGGCCCCCUCCGCCACGGCCACAUGCAGACUGCUGAAGAGGUUCGUCAGCAGGUGCGCCAGUAUUCGCUGAUGCAAGCGCUGCCCUCGGUAACCUGUGCGCACGGCUGUGUGCUGCCGUGGGCAUCUUACAAGGUGGUAUCGGCAUCCGCGUACGAAAAGCUGAGCCGUUUUCUCGCUGUCUGCGGCUCGCCCUUGACAGUGGCGGCGAACGGCGACAGACCUGCAUCGCCCUCCACACCGGAGGCGCCGAUGACGGCCCGCUUGCGUGAGUCGAUGGCUGGCGGCGGCGCCGCCUGCGGCACUCAGUCGUGUUGCACCCUCAUGGAAGCCAACCUGUGCCCGCUCUGUGUCGCGGCCAUGGCCGCCGGCGUGCAGGCGCUCGCGUCGCGCACGACGGAGGACGAGGAGGCGGAGAUCAUCCUCACCCGCGCCUGGGAAGAGGCGGAGCGGCGGAAGAGGCACGCUGCAGGCGAGGAAGGAGACGAGGGCGACAGCGGUGCUGGGCCCGGAGCCGCCACGCCAACUGCACUUACACAGAGCACGCAGCAGCAGGAGGCUGAGGAGAAGAGGGAGGAUGGGCAGCAGCAGCGCGUGCUCGUCAGCAAGACCGUCGUUGAGGCGUGGGCUUCGUUCUACACGAGCCAGCUUGGCUGGGGACGCGUGCGGCAGGCCGAAGGCUACACGGGUGUGCUGGUUAUGCGUGAGGCACGUGUGGCGCCGCCGCCGUUGCCGGCGACGCCGGCGUCGACGUCGUCCAUGGUAGCAGCGGUGACCGCCCCCGCCUCUUCCGCCUCUUCUUCGGCGUCUCCUGCGGUGCCCGAGACUGUCUCGACGUCUCUAGCGAAAGCUGACCACCCGUUCAGCCUGGCCGCCCUUGACGUGGACCGCGGCGACUUGAACCUGUCGGCGCAGCUGCUAUGCCCGCACGGUGCCCUGCGCCCUGGCCAGAGCGCCGUGGCUAUCCCAGACUCCUUGCGACGCUACUGGGUGCACCGCUUUGUGGAGGUGCUCACGAUGGCGCAUCGCUCUGGUGUCCUGCGCACGUCGAACCCGCACUGGAGCGUGAACGAGGAUGACGUGGAACACUUCUUUCUUCCGCUCAUCCCUGCCUCGGAAACGAGCACGACGUGUCAGGAAUGCAUGCAGUCAAGCGUGCAGCACCUGACCUCGCGCCACCAGCAGCGCAUGAAGAGGAUGGAGGAGCGCAAGCGCUACCCGUCGCUGUGGCUUGCCGGAGCCAUGACCUGUCCCUCUGGGGUCGCGCAGCUGCUGCUCGCUACCGGGGCGGAGAACGAGGAGCAGCUGCUCGCUGCCCAGCACCCGAAUCGGCUCUUCUUCAAGCAACACGGCGAGCGCGAGUACCGUGAGUACGUGAAGAAGUGGGCAGAGGCGCACCAGCAGCGAGUAGCCCACCAGUCAAGCGAGGUGCAGCGACUGCGCACAGCACUGAUGAAGAAGCGGCAGCACGACGCCGCCUGGAAUGCGCGCGUGACGAUGCGGCGCAGUGGGGGCGGCCGUAGUGGUGGCCGGGGUGCAAGCGCAACGAACGUCCCUUCCUCGCCUGUGGCUCCGGCGCCGUCAGAAACGGCAACUGCAGCAGCGGCACCGCCAGAGCCGCAGACGCUUGAGGGACGCUUGUAUUACGCUGAGGAGGCGCUGGAGAAAAUGACGGCGCAGACGGUGCCAGACUGCACCGUCACGUAUGGCUGUGUGCCGACGUGGUGGGUGGCGCGGUGGUACGCGGCGAUGCAGAGCGAGGACAACAAGUCUGACACCAGCAAAGGCGGCGAUGAUGCGGACGGCGAGCCUUUACUGGUACUGCCGCGAAUCUCCUUCGAAAAGUUCAAGUGCGCGCACUCUGAGAGCCUGCUGGAGGUGUCGUGGCUGAACCCUUCCGAUGGCUUCUGGCAAGGGGCGCGGGCGAAGCGGGCCGAGUUGCUCUGGAACGGUGUGCGGGUGGAGCGGGCCGGUGCGCCGACUCCGACGUCACCGCCGACGGGCCCCACUGAGGCGGAGUACCGCAGUCAGUGCUGGCUACCGCCCAUGGUGAUAUUGCCGAUGGAUGAGUAUGUUGCGUUGUUGGCGCAGUACGGUGAGCCGGGCAUGCUGGAGCGUGUGGCGUCGCGGGCUGGCGGCGUCGCGGGCACGUCCACUGCUGGGGCGGCAGUGGGGGGUGCUGAGCCUCGUGCGGAGGUGACGGACGUGGACGCGGAGGCAGCGGAGGAUGGGGCCUCGGCAGAGGCAGCGAAGACGCCGACGGAUCUCUCUGCAGCCGCGGCAGGUGACUGCACGGUCGCGUCCCUGUCGACGCCGUCGCCACCCGCGGCGACGCCGGUGCCGAAGUCUCGUGCGCAGACUGUUCCCGUGGCGGCCGCCGUCAUUCAGGUGCGCUUUCACAAUGGUGCGCGCCAACUGUGGCCCUCUACCUGUGCGCAGUGCUGCGCGGCAAUGCUCGCCAAAUUUGACGCCCAGUGCGAGUCCUUCGUGAAUGGCUCGUUGAGGCUGAACAUACAUGUGAAGAAAAGCCGCAAGAACUACUACGACGCGGUGAGCGUGCUGACCUCGGCCGCGGUGCAGCACACUGGCAGCAGCGCUGCGAAGAGUGUGGAAGGUGGCAGCAACACCACCGCCACUGACGCCGACGUGAUCCCUGCGGGGAUUCACUAUUACACUACACUCAGACAGCUUAAGAUCUAUAUAAGUGCUCACCUGCGCGAGAAGCACGGAUACCUGGUGCCCGCCGAGGUGCUGCAGAUUGGGCGAGGAAAGAACAAGCCCUUGAAGCGGUGCUCGACGCCACCACACGCUGUGGAGGCGUCGGGCCAUCACACUCGCGGCACCGCUCCAACCUCCGCCACUGCGGCGGAGGUUGCGCAGCUCGACGAAGCCACGCUUCAGGAGCUGGGCAUCCGCGACGGCGAGACGCUCUCGGUGCAGUCGGUCGACAUCAUCGCGCAGACGUGCGCUACAACGGCGGCGAUCGACGAGGAGUGGGAGGCGAUUCCACCAGAGCUGCUGCAAGCCGGCGCUUGCGGUGACGCAUCUGCUGCGUCCGUCGUCCGCGAGCACACGGUGGCUUUCCGUGAGACGCGACUCCAGGGCAGCCACGGCGGGUCCAUAAUGGCAGCAUCCCCCGCUGUCACCGCGGCUGCUGCCGGUGUCGUUGCUGCGGGACCUACCGUCGGCGCCGCAAUCGCCAUGGAGGAGCAGGGCUUGCCAUGUCCUGUGUGCACCUUUCUUAAUGCACCUGAUAUGGUGGUGUGUGAGAUGUGCGAGGCCCCGCUACCGAGUACGUAGAGGCCCCGAGGUGCACAGAGCAACAGCAGCCGAGGGAGCCUGGGGCCUGCAGGAAGCGUCGUGAGGGAGCGGCACGGUGCGUGCGUCUGCUGUGAGGUGGAUUCCACGCCUGCGGCUACCGCAGCAGUAACGGGGCCGAAAUCCUCAGAGCAGCAACGAGAAAGUGAUUGCGCGAUGCAGAGCAACGUGCGCAAACAGACCGAGAGAUCAUACCAACUUCGUGGUGGGCACGAGCCACGCAGUUUCUCGCGCCCCUCUCCAUCUCCCAUUUUCGCUCUCGUCCUUCACUCAUUCACCUACGUGGGCAGAGAUGGCGUGAGCGUGCGUAGGCGUGCGCCACUUCAGCUGAGCAUGUGACCUCGGCGGCUGUGUUGGUGGAAACCCGCCACGCCUCAGUGGGAGGCACUCGUCUUUGAUGGCCACCACCAACACCAGUGAAGGCGACGUAGGUGAGGCGAAAACACACGUAUCUUGCGUACACUCGCUUCAUCAACUCCCCCCUCUUGACUUGGGCCCUUUUGCUUUGCGUGAUGUGUACUGCUUGUGUUGUCUUGGGCUGUUGCGCUGCGCGCAUGCCUGCUCAG